UGGCUUUAAAGCCAAUGUGUGUUUGGUAUCAUGGAAGAUGAGGGCUCCUGCAUGUCCUGUAUCUAUGGCUACUCCAACCAGAGACAGUGGUGAAUCAGAGAAGCUUCUUCAACAAGGACUGGGAGAGCUAUCUCUUGGCAAAAAAGUCUCUAAAAGUAAUGUUGGUUCCUGGAUGGACUCUGUAGAGAGACUAGAGCUCAUGUCAGAGUAUCAUCCCUCACUACCUCCUACCCCCCACCACCAUAUCAUCCGACCCCCCAGACUCCGAGUAGUGGGGGGGUCAGUGAUGAGACCACACCCCCUUCAUCAUCAUCUGGGACACAAGAAAACACUAACUCACAACACAAUUCAUUCACCAGUUGUCAAUAUUGUAUUAACAUGUAGUUUGGUUGCAAAUGUUGUUUUGCUUUUCUUACUGUUCUAUUUCGUAUAUCAAAAUUAACAAAUUUAUAGUGCACAACGACACAAUAACUGAUGGUGACAA